CAAUAGCGUAUACUAAAGUUGUUGCAGUUAAAAGCUCGUAGUUGGAUUUCUGUGUUGGUGGAACGGCUUGUGGACCUUCGGGGACAUGAGAACAGUUCUCAUCGGCGCAUCUUGCCACGAACUGCUCUGGCCUUCAUUGGUUGGGGUUUCAGGGACUGGCUCGUUUACUUUGAGAAAAUAGAGUGUUCAAAGCAGGCAUAUGCCUUGAAUAUGUUAGCAUGGAAUAAUAAUAUAGGACUUUGGUUCUAUUUUGUUGGUAUUGGGGACUGAAGUAAUGAUUGAUAGGGACCGUUGGGGCGAUCUGUAUUCUGAAGCGAGAGGUGAAAUUCUUAGACCUUUGGAAGACAAACAACUGCGAAAGCAUUUGCCAAGGAGGUUCU
rnacentral:rRNA from 1 species